AAUGAACGCUAGCUACAGGCUUAACACAUGCAAGUCGAGGGGUAGCAGGGUAGCAAUACCGCUGACGACCGGCGCACGGGUGAGUAACACGUAUCCAACCUUCCCAUAACUCAGGGAUAGCCUUUCGAAAGAAAGAUUAAUACCUGAUAGUACUUAAGAAAGGCAUCUUUUUUAAGUUAAAGAUUUAUUGGUUAUGGAUGGGGAUGCGUUCCAUUAGAUAGUUGGUGAGGUAACGGCUCACCAAGUCUUCGAUGGAUAGGGGUUCUGAGAGGAAGGUCCCCCACAUUGGUACUGAGACACGGACCAAACUCCUACGGGAGGCAGCAGUGAGGAAUAUUGGUCAAUGGGCGAGAGCCUGAACCAGCCAAGUAGCGUGAAGGAUGAAGGUCCUAUGGAUUGUAAACUUCUUUUAUAGUAGAAUAAAGUGAGCCACGUGUGGUUUUUUGUAUGUAUACUAUGAAUAAGGAUCGGCUAACUCCGUGCCAGCCGCCGCCGUAAUAC
rnacentral:rRNA from 1 species